rnacentral:tRNA from 1 species
GCUUAAAUAGUUUAAAAAAAAAUAUUAGUUUGUGGUACUAAAGAUAUAAAUGUUUUAUUUUAGGUU